rnacentral:rRNA from 1 species
GUCCACGCCGUAAACGAUGGUUACUGGGUGUUCGGGGCAAUUAAGUCCUGAGUGCCUGAGCGAAAGUGUUAAGUAACCCACCUGGGGAGUACGUCCGCAAGGAUGAAACUCAAAGGAAUUGACGGGGGCCCGCACAAGCGGUGGAGCAUGUGGUUUAAUUCGAUGAUACGCGAGGAACCUUACCUGGGCUAGAAUGCCUUUGACCGCCCGUGAAAGCGGGUUUUCCUUCGGGACAAAGUGCAAUGUGCUGCAUGGUUGUCGU